rnacentral:rRNA from 1 species
AUGGAGUUCUCGCCAACCGCACCGGCCGGUGGCGAGGAAUCCGAGAGGGUUUGCGCGUCGUCGUCGGUGGUGGAGAAAGAGCACAUGUUCGAGAAGGUAGUGACCCCGAGCGACGUUGGGAAGCUGAACCGCCUGGUCAUCCCCAAGCAGCACGCCGAGCGCUACUUCCCUCUCGAUGGUGCUGCCGCAGCGCUGGCGACGGAGGCUAACGGCGGCAAGGGGAUGGUCCUCAGCUUCGAGGACCGCGCGGGAAAGGCGUGGCGGUUCCGGUACUCGUACUGGAACAGCAGCCAGAGCUACGUCAUGACCAAGGGCUGGAGCCGCUUCGUGAAGGAGAAGCGCCUCGGCGCCGGCGACACCGUCCUGUUCGGCCGCGGGGUCGGCGACGGCGCUGCGCGCGGCCGCCUCUUCAUCGACUUCCGCCGCCGACGCCCGGCCGAAGCUUACAGCGCCACCGCGACAUCGUCUUUGUCACAUCGCCUGCCGCUCCUCCCGUCUGUGCCGUUCUGCCCGUGGCGGCGGGACUUCGGCACCACCUACGGGUCCAACCGUCAUGUGCUAUUCCUGCGGCAGCAGGUGCCAGCGGCUGUGGUGCUAAAGUCCGUGCCGGUGCACGCCGCUGCCUCCGUACUGGAGCCGCCGACGAGGCCUAUGCCUAAGCGAGUCCGGCUGUUCGGCGUGAACCUCGAUAGCCCGCCCACGGAAGACGGCGGCGCCUGCGGAGUCACGCAGAUGGUGACCUCGACGCUCCUGCUGCCCUUGCCGUCGUCGUCAACGUCGUCGACGGCGGGUAAGGAGAGGCAGUGCUCCCUGGAUCUUGGAUUGUGA